GCUUUCCGGGAGCGGGGGCUUCGGGGCCACCUCCCACCCGUGUUGCCCGAACCUAUGUUGCCUCGGCGGGCCCCGCGCCCGCCGACGGCCCCCCUGAACGCUGUCUGAAGUUGCAGUCUGAGACCUAUAACGAAAUUAGUUAAAACUUUCAACAACGGAUCUCUUGGUUCCGGCAUCGAUGAAGAACGCAGCGAAAUGCGAUAACUAAUGUGAAUUGCAGAAUUCAGUGAAUCAUCGAGUCUUUGAACGCACAUUGCGCCCUCUGGUAUUCCGGAGGGCAUGCCUGUCCGAGCGUCAUUGCUGCCCUCAAGCCCGGCUUGUGUGUUGGGCCCCGUCCCCCCCGCCGGGGGGACGGGCCCGAAAGGCAGCGGCGGCACCGCGUCCGGUCCUCGAGCGUAUGGGGCUUCGUCACCCGCUCUAGUAGGCCCGGCCGGCGCCAGCCGACCCCCAACCUUUAAUUAUCUCAGGUUGACCUCGGAUCAGGUAGGGAUACCCGCUGAACUUAAGCAUAUCAAUAAGCGGAGGAG
rnacentral:rRNA from 1 species